rnacentral:lncRNA from 1 species
AGCCUGUUGAGAAGUGCUGGCAACCACAAGAUUUUCUUCCACUCCCUGAGUCAGAUGGAUUCUAUGAGCAAGUUAAGGAGCUGAGGGAAAGAGCAAAGGAAAUUCCUGAUGAUUAUUUUGUUGUGUUGGUUGGAGAUAUGAUCACCGAAGAAGCCCUACCAACAUACCAGACAAUGCUUAAUACCUUAGAUGGAGUUCGGGAUGAGACUGGUGCAAGCCUUACUUCCUGGGCAGUAUGGACCAGGGCCUGGACUGCCGAAGAGAAUAGGCAUGGUGACCUUCUUCACAAGUAUCUUUAUCUCUCGGGAAGAGUAGAUAUGAGACAAAUCGAGAAGACAAUUCAGUAUCUUAUUGGAUCAGGAAUGGUGAGUUUUUUUUUUAUUCUCUCUCUUCUUUUUUUCUUUCUUUCAAUUUUGGUUAUUUCUGAACAAUAAUAUUUUUUGGGAUACUUUUCUGAGUCCACACUUAGGAAUUUUGGCAUUGUAGGAAAGCUUUUGAAAUUAUACUAAUCAUAAAGGAUGCUAACUGCUGGACUAGGGUGCAAUGUAAUUGUUAUCUUCUUUUUUCUCUUUUUCCUUUUUUAUUCUUUUUCUUUUUCGUCAUUCCCCUUGACUACAGAUGAAGAAGCUUAAGACCUUUUAGCUGGUCAUAAGUAUAGGAAAGACAAGAACCAGUUAUAUAAUGUUAAAAAGUACAUCAUGAUCAUAAAUUUUCCAUGUCAUAUCUGUUUCUGGAAGUCUCUCUUUAUGAUCAUAUCUCCAUAAUUCUAGUUACCCAGAGAACAUCUGCAUGUCAAUUAGAGUGGAAUUUUAGUCUAGUUUAUGCCUGAUUCACUGCUAUAUGACAUACACACUUGAAACAUAGCUGCACCCUCUUCUCUCCUUAUAUUUUUAUUUUUAUGAUUAUGAUUAGAUUCUAGUUUUCAAUUAUCCGUUCCUUUUUAGGACCCUAAAACAGAAAACAAUCCCUACCUUGGGUUCAUAUAUACUUCAUUUCAAGAGAGGGCAACAUUCGUAUCCCAUGGGAACACAGCCAGGCAAGCCAAAGAGCACGGGGACCUGAAAUUGGCUCAGAUAUGUGGUACCAUUGCCUCAGAUGAAAAACGCCAUGAAACUGCCUAUACAAAAAUUGUGGAAAAGCUCUUUGAGAUUGAUCCAGAUGGCACUGUCUUGGCUUUAGCUGACAUGAUGAAGAAAAAAAUAUCAAUGCCAGCCCACUUGAUGUACGAUGGUCAAGAUGAUAAUCUUUUUGAACAUUUCUCGGCUGUUGCCCAGCGGCUUGAAGUGUAUACUGCUAGGGAUUAUGCUGAUAUUUUGGAGUUUUUGGUUGGAAGAUGGAACAUAGAGAAGUUGACGGGUCUUUCUGGCGAGGGACGUAGAGCACAAGAUUUCGUCUGUGGACUGCCGCCAAGAAUUAGAAGGUUGGAGGAGAGGGCUCAGGGAAGGGCGAAGCAAGCAACCACUGUUCCAUUCAGCUGGAUUUUUGGUAGAGAAAUAAAGGUAUAAGUGCUGCUGCACGUGGUUAGCAUUGGCCCCCAUCUUAUCUUGUCUCGUAGAUUUAUAGAUAGAAUUUGCCAAUCUACAUUUUGGUCUUGUCAUUAUGAUGCCCCCUUCUCUGUGUGAGAUGGUUGGGAAGUUCUGUGUGAUGAAGACUUUUGUAGAUACUCUGUUUUCUUGUGUUGGUCUUGGGUCGAGUGAACUAUAGUUGUUCGUACAAGUGUUUAUGUUCAACCUAGAAACUAAAAAGAGUAUCUUCCUUUUUCCUUUUAAAAUGUGUUUCUGUAAGAGUACCUGCUGCUGCCAAUGGUGAGCUUAUCUGAAGUAAUGGAAGGAAUUAUCAGUCAAAACAUUUCUUUGUCAAGGAAGAAUGCUUUUUUCCGGAAAGCAGACCCUUGUUUUAUUAUUCUAUUUGCAAAACCAACUCAUGCUAUCUAUUAUUUGAGCUUUGUGAUUUAGACACUUACUGCAUAAAUUUGAAGUCCAGCAUAUAAUUGUUCUUGUUUGAUUGCUAGCUUCAUCUAUUUCUUCGGCUAGUCGUAAAAGAGAAUUCCAAUUCUGACCCAAUUAUCACUAUAUAUGUAUGUGUGCGUUGCGUAUCAUCAAUUUUAGGAACAAAACCCAACCCAAGAGAGAAGUAUGCAAAAAGAAGUUGAAGAUAAGCAGCUCUAAUCACAACAAGAUUACCACAAUUGAGUCAGUUUUUAAAGUGAGUCCCAGAUAAGCGUAUGUAUGUGAUUAAUUGGAAUAUCAUCGGUAUCUCUCUCAAUGUCAAUCAAAAUUCAAAAUAGAGGCGCAGCCUAAGAGCUUAGACCGCCAAGAUGUGAUAGCUGCCACAACCCACCUAUGAAUAUUGCACGCUUACUAGAGCAAACCAUUAUGUGCAGAGAGAGAGAGAGAGGAGAAAGACUUCUAUGAAACCAGGAUAGCAUUAUUUUGCUAUCUCCGGCUAAUAACGUUAUGAUAUGCGUGAUAACUUGAUCAGUUUAUAAUUGUAUAUCAUUUUGAUCCUUUCUAACUUAUGAUUUUGUUGUGUUUUUGAGUUAAACUUGUGCUUUUAAUUUCUUUUGUGUUUAUCAUUCAGUUCAUUGAGCUUAAAGUAGAAUUGGUGGCCUUGGAUAGAAAAAGAUGCAAAAUGGUGCAAAAACGUGCAUACUGAGUUAACAAUUCGUUUAAGCCUUAAUGAAUUUCUUUGACCUUGGAUUGGUCCAAAUGACAUGUGGUUGGAAAUAUGACAUUCGGAACUUCAAGAUGGACGGCUCAAAGUCAUCAAUUGCUUAAGAGAAGCCCAAUCCGUGAGCCCAUGAAGUUGUUGGUCAUGCUAACCUAAGGAUGAACUGAUUGUUGCUUGGUCAUGAUGAGCUAUGCAUGAGCUAUGGUUUCUGGUGACAUUUGUUGGUGAAGUGCAACAACCAAAUAAGAAAAGAAAUUGAUUUUCAAUUACAUUGGUGUGUUAGGUAAUGUUGGUAAAGUGGGUGUUGUAGGUGAAAGCCAUACUCAAUUUAGAUUUCUCACUAUAAAUACUACAUCCAUUCCAUAGUAAAGAAAAGCAGAUAUCCUGGAAUUCAUACUCCCACAAUUCAUCCAUCCUUCAUUCCAUCCUCCACACUCCCAUCAUUCCCCAAACACAUUGAGAAAUCACCUUCAAACAUUCAAACAACCCCAAACACUUCAGCAAUCAACCCAAAGCUCUAAAUAGCCCCAAAUUACCAAAAUUGUCCCAGCAAGCCUCUCUUCCAUUUCCCUACGAAUUUCCUCUUUCUAGAUGUGGUGGCCAAUGCUUCUCCAAGAGCUUCACCACAAGAACUUCAGAAAAAGGGUUUUCUACUCUUAUUGCAUUCAUUAUAUUUUCUUAUUUAUGUUUAAGUUUCUUUCCCAUUAUGACUAGCUAAAUCUAUUAGGGCUGGGCACGGUCUGGUUUGGGCUGGUUUUCAUAUAAAAUUAGAAUCGAAAUCAGUACUGUUCAUUGGUCCAGUAUGGUCCAAUUUUUAUGAAAUUUUAAUAACAAACCCGAGCCAAUCGGUUUCCGGUUUUCCCAGUUUGGACUGACUUCGAAGCCUAAUUGAUUUGUUUGUUUUUUUGUUUUUUUGUUUUACAUUUCUAGCUUCAAGCCCAAUUGAUUUUGUUUUUGCUUUUUAUGUGGAUAUUUCUAGCUUCAAGCCCAAUCAAAAUUUUAAACUUUUAGGGCUUAAAAAUCACAAUUGGCCCAGUUGCCAUAUUGAAUAAAGCAAUCAUUCUUUUGCAAAAAUAAUAAAAUAAUCCAACAUUAAAUUUAAAAUUACAACCAAAAUUAUAAUGAAGCAAACUAAAUUACGACCAAAUUUUAAAUUACAGCUCAAUUUUCUUUGUUGCCGCAUCUCAGAAGCUCCAAUGAUCUGUUUCUACCAAAAACACAAAAGAACAAAUUAGUAAAAGUUUAAAAGUACCAGUUUAUAAGAAUAAUUUCAAAAGUUGCACUUGGUGAAUAUGAGAUGCAAAUCCUCUCAAGAUAUGUUGGGGCAAUAAAGGAAGAGCCAUUAGCCUUAAUUCUCUCAAGAAAUUGAGAAAAUGUAAUAACUUCUUGCUUCCACUCCAGGUAUAAAUAACUUUUCCCAACCUACAAAUCAUUCAAAACUUUAUCAAUUGUUAGUUAUUUAACAAAAGCGAAAGAAUAAAGAACUUAAAAGCGAAAGAGAUAUUCACAGAAAAAUCCCUCCAAAGAUAGACCAUAUCUCUUCAAAACCAUUUUACAAGAAAGUGAUAGAAGCAUCAGGGAAGAAGGCCAAGAAUACAUGACAUGGACUGCAACUUUGCCAUCUCCUCAUGAAAUAGCAACCCACUGUUCUAGAAAAAUAAAUUGAAUAGAAAUCCUUAUUCCAGAAAGAAAAAAAAAAGAAAAAAGAAACUCACAUGUAAAUUAAUUGUCAAAAGCAUAUAACUACGGACUGCAAAUUAACCACAAAUAUUCUCUAUUCUUUUGUUGAGAAAGUCAUAGACAACCAACAUUCCAAUAUUGAUUAAUAGAAAUUCAGAAAAACAGAUUUGAGAAAAAUCUUUGGAAUCUACUAAAAACCACAAAAAAUAAGGGAAAAGAAAUAACUCACCCUCUCGUCGUUGCUGUCGUCGUCAUCGAUGAAGGUAUGGGCUCACCCUUAUCGUCAUUGUUGUCGAUAUGUCCCUCGCCAUCAUCACCCCCUUCACCUUCUUUGCUGUCGUCGUCGUUGUUGGAGAGAGAGAGAGAGAGAGAGAGAGAGAGAGAGAGAGAGAGAGAGAGAGAGAGAGAGAGAGAGAGAGAGAGAGAGAGAGAGAGAGAGAGAGAGAGAGAGAUAGAUAGAUAGAUAGAUAGAUAAUAGAGAAAGGGCAGCUAAGAAAAUAAUGAAGGGGAGGAGAGAUGGGGAGAGAGCUGAGUUAGGGUUAGAAACAAAGGAUAAAUGGGGUGAGGUUAUGUGCAUCCCUUUUUAUACAAAGAAUGUAGAAUUGGUGCAUCAACCAAUCAUAAUAUAGCAUAUUUAAAUAAUUUUAAAAAACUAUAUAUUUAAUAAAUAACUGGUCCAAUUUUUUAAAACAACAAACGAAAUCAGAACCGGGUUGAACCAGUCCGAUUCGAUUUUUGGUCAACACGGUUUUUUUUUUUCUUCCUAUUUUUUCAGGCUUGGUUCGGCUCAGUUCUUCGGUUUGAAUGCCCACCCCUAAAAUCUAUAACUAGGGUUUCAAUGUAACCUAACAUAAAUAUUCCGGGUUUAUAAAUCUCAAGUUUCAAGUUUGAUUCAUGAUUCAUGUUCUUAUUCAUUAUGCUUACUUGCCUAUAUGCUAAUCAGAAUGCCUAUCUACCAUUUAGAUUUGUGUAUCUUGGUUGCAAUUAAGAGUAGACAUUAUAUACCUUAAUUCUAAUUGAAUUAUGAAUAGAAAGAGUAUGUAUGAACAUUCGACAACAAGGAUUCGAUACAUGCUUGGUUGUUGAAAACAUUCUUCUAUGCUUAAUGGAUUUCUAAUGCUUAAUUUAGGUUCGACAAUAAGGAUAUAAUUAGGGAAUUAGGAAUACAAGGCUAGGACCAGACACCAUACCUUAAUCAUACUUUAGCUAGAAUCAAUCUUUGAAUAUGAAUAAGCUUGUCACUUGAAUCCUUAUAACCGAGAAUUAGAUUGUUAUGGUACAUCGAAUGCCCUAGUCUCCAAAUAUGUUUUGUGACACCCCGACCUAAUUUUAACGAUUUAUUUAAUUCAUUUAAACUAUUUAAUUGUGAAAUUACAAUUUUGCCCUUGGUGUAGGAUCAUUUUGGUCACUUUUUAAUAUGGUAGAAUUUUGGAGAAUUGAAUAGCACCGUUUCAUAGACCUCGUUGAUAUGAGUUCGUAGACACGUAGUGGGCUCAAAUCGGAGUUUUAACGAAGAAAUUACGGUCAACGAAAGUGCAGUCGCACAGCCGCAAAUAUUUCAAAGUCGGAUUUUUAAAUAACCAGAUCAGCUUUUCUCUCUCUUCCUCUCUCUCCCCAGACCAUCUCUCCUUUGUCUCUAUAGCCGGAACUUCAGGAGUUGAUUCCAGCUUCGUCCGGCCACUGUUUCCGACAAAACGACUCGCAAAAUCUUCCUCUCAUUCUCCUCUACCUGAGAAACCCAAUUUCUCCGAUCGAAAACCAACGUAUCGCCGGCUGGAGCACGAGAAAACUCCGAUUUUCUUCAAAAAAAUUCGGCGUUGUUUCUGACGAUUUCGGUCACGAUUUUUGUUGAUCCAAGUAUGUUUUCUCACCCUCUCAAUGUGAUCUAAUUGAUGGUUGGGUUGGUUAGAAUCGAUUUUGAUGUUUUGAAGCUCAAUCUAGAACCUAAGUUUUGACCCGUCAUUGGCUUGAUUUUUUUGGCAAGUUUCGGCUACUUUUUGGCUGUGGUCUAAGAACAAAAGUUGCUCCCCUAGUUGUCACGAACACGUAGGCAUAGGUAUUGCAGUGUGUUUUGAGAAUUUUCCGAUAGCCAGAAUUUUCUCAAGACACCCACGCCAUGGUGUGGAGGCCCAUUUUGUCCUAAAAUGUUCUUCAUGUCGUCCUGAGCAUGACGGUAUGCUCGGAUUCGAAUUUGGUUUUCGUUUGAUGAUCGAACAGAUUUACGCAUAUUAGGCGAUAUCCAGAUUCGAUAUGUUCGGACAGUUUGAUUGGCUUCAUUUCCCGUUAUGUUGAUCUAGGUACUGCUAGGAUCGUGUCGGAACUCAGGGAUUGAGAAUCGGAGUCCCAGAUACUCCGAAUUAAUGAUUCAAAAAUUACGUAAAACAGUGACCGUCUGAUCGUGUGAUUGAGAGCGAUCCUACCCCUCGAUCGAGACCAAAUUCUCGAGAUGUGUUAAAUAGACCUUGUUGGACUUGUAGGAACGUUUAGAUUGGAAAUCGGAGGUUGUGGGCCCCGCGAUCCCAAAUGGUAAAAUUUCUCGAUCGGGGUCAAACUGACCGUUGGGUCGUGACGAGACUUCUAGAAUGGGCCGAAGUCAUGGUUAAGGACAACUAGGAAUCAUCAUAUAACAAAUUGAGGUCGUGGGCCCUACAGGUGCAGUUGACUUAGAUAGCCUAUGUCGGCUCGAUUGAGGCCAUUUAGUAGUUGAAAUUGUAAUUGGAGGUUUGUUUUAAAAUGGUAUUAUGCUUAAAGAGUUUUAUUAAAUGUUUAUGAAUUAUUGCAAUUACUUUUAGUUUUCAAGUAUAUUAUAUUAUGUUUAAUUGUGUGAAGUUGGGAAUGGCUUAGUUAACCGGGUUUUGGCGUGAAUAAAGAAUCAAUUAAAUGCUUAAUUGAAUGUCUAUAUUUUAAUAUAUGCUCGAUGGCUUGAAAUUGAUGAAUUAUGGAUACUAGAUCUCUCAAUAGUAUGUGGUACAUAUUUAAAUGUAGUUGGAAACAGUUUUGAAAGAUUAUGUAUGGUUAAAUUCAAUUAAGGACUGUUGAGAUUGAUCUCGUUUUAAGAAGGGAUUUUAGAUUAUCUAUUUAAGAGCUUAUUUUGGGAGUGUUGAGAAAAGCUUUGGAAAUGGAUUUGUGAAAAUGGAUUUGUGGAAUAAAAGAAAUUUUAAGAUAGGUUUCGAAAAAUGGUUUUCAAACCCACCACAGGAGUACCCCUUCAGUUGCCUUUGGAACAGUUUAGUCAUUUAUGAUAGUGCUCCACAAGUCUCGGCGACGCAUGAAUCAUGUGGUGCGAGGAUUUGCGCUCUCAGGUUGAUUAUAUCUUCUUGAGUUAUGUGAGGAUAUGCGUUCUCGGGCUGACUACGUGUCCCCUGAGUUCUGCGAAGAUAUGCGUUCUUGGGUUGACCACGUGUCCCCUAAGUUCUAUGAGGAUGUAACAUACAUGGUACUUGGAAUUCACAGAAUAUAAAGGAGGGUACGCCUAGGUGGAGAGUAUUUGAGUUUUGAGAUGUUUUAAAAUAAAAUUUGAUGAUUUUAUCUUGGUACUUAUUGGUGAAAGGUUUAACACAUGUUUUUCGAUUUAUGAGACAAGGAUUGUGAUUUUUCACAAAAUUCUCUAUGAAUUUUCUCCACAUAUGAGAUGACUUCGUCUCAUUACUCGUGGUCGGACGAUGACCAACUUGGACUCAACACUCAUACAACAAAACAUCUUCAAUGGUUGUUCAUGAGCCUCCAACUUCGAUGGAAGAGGCUAUUUGUAUUUUUACACAAAUGAAAUUUAGUAGUAUAAAAUUUGGUGUGAAAAGUGAAUAAUAUUGGAAAGAGAAGAAUUUGUAUGAAGAUUUGGUGUGGAAAGUGAAUAAUAUUGGUAGGUAUUUAUAAAUUUUUUUUAUAAAAAAUUUAAUGGUAAUUUGUUUUCUAAUUUUUUAGAUUUUGUUUUCCAAUUUUUAUGCCAUUGGAUGGUAGUGGAACAAUGGAUCAGACACCUUAGGUAGUGCCACGUGGCUUUUAUCCGUUGGGGGAAAGCAGGUGUUGACGCCAAUGAAAAAAAAUCAAAAUUUUUUAACCAUUGGCGUGCCUGACUAGCGCGGUCCCCACGUGUACAUCACGCGCUAAAGGUAAAAAAAUUUGAAUUCGUGCGUAGAUGCCAUUUUGACAUCAGCGGUGACGUCAUAGCCUUCAGGCAAGUGAACAGAUUGAGUUUACUUUGGGCCUUGCUCGAAUUGGUGAAGCCUAGCUCUUGCCUAGGCAACAUUUCGACACUGAAAACAAGAUCAAGGGCCUAGGGGGCCUGACUGGGAGAGAACGGCGUAAAUGCUCUAAAACUAUAAAUUGGUAAGGUCAAGGGCCUAUGUUUUCAAAACCGCCCCCCUCCUCCCCCACCCACUGGCGGACCUGUUAAGGCGCAAAUAGGUGCAUAUGCACCUCCCCUUGUUGGAAAAACUAUUGUAGGUGCUUUAAAUUGCCCCUUUGCUCAGCUGGUGGUGGUGUACAAAUUACCUUAUGUCUUUGUCCUUUUACUUUCAUUUAUUUUUAUAUUACUCUAUUUACUUAAGUUUACAAUGUAAAUAAAGAAGUACCCCCCAUUUGGAUUCAAAUAAAAAUACUAAAAAAUAAAAUUCCCCCCAAAUCAAAAUAUGAAAAAUCGGUUUUAGUGCAAAAUACGAUUUAGGCAAAAAAUGAUGGCUCAUUAAGUCAAUAUAUACUUCAUAAUAAAAUCCCAUAAAAUCAAGUUUUCUUAUUUGAAGUGAAAGGAAUAAAAGCCGCCAAAAAUUAUCUUGAGAAAAUGAUUAUUCUGAAAAACCAUUUUUCAUACUUAGUCAAUAUUUUUAUAUAGAACAAUUUUUCAUGUAUGAUAUGAAUGCAUAAAGGGAUUUAAAGUCAAUCUAAAUAAAAAGCCUUAGAUGUUUAAUCCACAAAAAAAUUUUAACAUUUCAAAAUUGCACAUCAACUAAAAAUUCCCCGGAUCCACCCCACCCACAAAAUGUAACGACGAAACUAAAGUGGCAGUGACGUAAUUAGGUGGGAAAGGACUGGUCCUUAUCGAAAGGAGGCCAACUUUACCAAUAACCUUCCCGUUUCUCUCUCCAGACAUUUCAUCGUUUGGUUGCGCGCGGCUGUCUCUCUCUUCUCUUCUCUUCGUGUUGCUUUCUCCCUCUCUCCCACCAAGAGGUUGAAUAUAAAGCUGAAAAAAAACUGAAUAGCAACCAACUGAGUAGCAAUUUAGCAAAGCUCUUUGGAUUCUAGAGAUAAAUAAACAAGGCAACAACUGAGAAAGAAGAAAAGACACCAGAAUGGCUCUGAGUUUCAAUUCCAUGAUGACUUUCCCAUCUCACAACCUCCUUUCUAAGUCCCACAAUCUCAGUUCACCAAAAAUCUUCAUGGCCUCUACUCUUCACUCUUCCGCUAAGUGAGUUUUUUUUUUUUCUUUUUUUUUUCCAUUCAUUUGUAUCUUCUGUUUCGUUUUUGCAUGACUGUAUUACGCCCCUUUACAAAAUGCAAAUGGGUAUCGUCAAGAAUGAAUUUUUAGCCAUUCUGUUGAUCUGGGGUUUUUGGUUUUGUGCCAAUGCAGUUGAAUAUGGGGUUAAUUUCUUAAACAUUGUGCGUUUAUUUUUAUACUCUUCUAGUUCUUUUUCUUUUUUUCUUUUUUUUUUCACGGUGUUUUUUGAAGUUUGGGCUUUGCCACUCAUUCAUUUUGUUUUCAAUUCGAGAAAUGUCAUGUAGUUACUGAAGUCGGUGAUUAUUCGAAUUAUGUUACUCUUAUGUUUUCUUCUCUCUUCAUUUAGCUUUGCAUGUUGCGUGAUGCUCUAUGUAGAUGCAAUCCACGGUUUUUUAUUUUAUUUUUAAUUUUAGUUGUAAGUUAUUUUUGUUUGAUUUUUACGCUUAGUGGUCAAUUUUUGCUUGUGAAGCAUAUACAGCUUACUUAUGUCGAUGAUUAAAUCUUAUUCCCUUGUAUUUUUCUUUUAAAAAAUUCCUUUAUUUUAUAAUUGAUAUUGAAAUAAAUUUUGUUUUGAUCUCGCUGGGGUUGUCCUAAAAGAGAAAAGAAAAUUGCUAGUUAGGUUUUCUGUUUGUCCUUUUCAAUAUGAAGAUAUGCGUUUCUUAUUUAACUAUGUCUCACAUCUGUUGAGAGUUAGGUCUGAAUUUUUUGUGUUUAAUUCUUUCUUUUGGAACUAGGUCCCGUGGUUAUUGUAAAACUUGUUUUCCCUGUGUCUUCAUUUUUUGGCAGUUUGAUGUUUUUUAUUUUCAAACAUGUUUUUAUUUGUUUAUGUGUUUGAGUAAUUAUAUAGCCCUUUUCCUCAUAUUCUUUCAUAGUGAUUACACUUGUUUGACUAACAUGAAUCUAGUUGGACACUUGGUAUUCUUUUCCAACUAAAUUCAGCUUCUUUUGUUUAUUUAAUGUUUAAGUCGAUACAUUAUUCUUGUUUGUCAAAUGUUUACUACAAUGUAGUCUCCUGAUUGUAUGGAUUUCUGUGUACCUCUCUAUCUCUCUCUAUUCAUUUUUGUGUCUAGGACUUGUGUUUGACAAUUAUCACAUGCACUUGAAUAAUGCGAUAUUGUUCAAGUUUGUUGCCCCCACUUUCCCUCUUGUAAAAUGUGGUAGUGCCGUAUUUGUGGACAUGUUUAAUAGCAUUUUGAUUGACAGUUGUUUAGAGCAUCCACAAUGGCUCCCUAAAUCACCUUCUUAGACAAAUUUUAGGGAGGAAUUGGAAAAAUACAACUUCAACCAUGCUCCCUAUCCACCUCCUAAAAUAGGGAGACCUCUAGGAGCUCCUAAAUUUGAGGAGAGAGAAAGCACUCCUAGUGGCUCCUUAUAAUUUAAUGCUGCUUUUUUUUAGGAGUAUUUUAAACCUUUAAUUAAUACUAACUAUUUUUUAUAUUAUUUUUAAAUAGAGAUGGACCAAUUAAAAAAGAGUUAUAGCAUUUAUGACUCCCUAAACUAGAGAGCAUGAUUGGAGUUUAAAUUUUAUUAAGAGCUCAUAAAAUAGCUUUUAUAUGUUUUUAGCUAAAUUUAAACUAAAAAAUGGAGAUCAUGAUUGUGGAUGCUCUUACAUCUGUGAAAUCUACAUUUGUCUGUCCUCAUGUUUUCAAUUAUAGCUGUGGCACUGUCAGCAACAAUUAAAGUUUGUUUUGUUCAGUUUUAGUUUUGAAUUUGGUAGCUGCCUGUAUCUUUGACUUCUCUGUUCUUUAUUCGAUGGUGGAUUAUGCUUUGUCUUUUGUUUCUUCAUGAGCAGACUUUGGGUUUUUUGUACUCCAAUAAUUUUUUUUUUUCUCUCUCCCUCUCUCCCUAAACCGUGAAUACUAUUAUUUGUAUAUAUUUGAUGUAUGUGGUUUCCUAGGUAAGUUUAUCUAAUUAUGAUGUAAUCCAAAGUACGUAAUAGAAUACCCUUAUAAGUUAGUUAUUUGGGGAAUAAGAAAGCUUACUUAAUGGUUGUUAGAUUUGUCAUUUGAAGUAUAUCAUUUUAAGAUCUUUUUCUGCUUGUUAUAGAGAGAUGGAAAAUUUGAAGAAGUCUUUUUUGCCUCCACGUGAGGUACAUGUUCAAGUGAAACAUUCACUGCCUCCUCAACAGAUUGAGAUCUUCAAAUCAUUAGAAGAUUGGGCUGAUAAGAACAUCUUGGUACACCUAAAGCCAGUUGAGAAAUGCUGGCAACCACAAGAUUUUCUUCCAAUGCCUGAAUCAGAUGGAUUCUAUGAUCAAGUUAAGGAGUUGAGGGAAAGAGCAAAGGAAAUUCCUGAUGAUUAUUUUGUUGUGUUGGUUGGAGAUAUGAUCACUGAAGAAGCCCUACCAACUUAUCAGACAAUGCUUAAUACCUUGGAUGGAGUUCGGGAUGAGACUGGUGCAAGCCUUACUUCCUGGGCAAUAUGGACCAGGGCCUGGACUGCCGAAGAGAACAGGCAUGGUGACCUUCUAAACAAGUAUCUUUAUCUCUCGGGACGAGUAGAUAUGAAACAAAUUGAAAAGACAAUUCAAUAUCUUAUUGGAUCAGGAAUGGUGAGAUAUUUGUUUGUUUGUUUUUCGGUUUUAAUUAUUUCCUUGAUGAUGAUAUUUUUUUGAGUCAAUGCUUAGGAAUUUGGUAUAAUAGGAAAGCUUAAGGAUUUAUAUCAAUCUUUGAGGAAUCUAAGUGCCGGAGUAAGGUGCAAUUUCCUUUUUAUCUUACGUAGUUGGUCCGACUCACAAGUAUAACACAAUAGGAAAGACAAUAAUGAGUGAAAUUUUUUCAACAGUAAAUGUUCUUAAAUUUGUUUUGUUGCAGUCUAGUCUUUGGUGGUUCCACCAAAUUAUGAAUUCCUUCAUGUCAAAAUAUGGCAUGCUUCAAUUUGUGGUGAUGAUUAUGACAGUAACUUGGACAAACUAUUGUACAAACUACUGUCUGAUAUUAUCUUGUUUUUAAUUCAGUCUUAUUAUAUCCU